UUCUAAUAGGAUAGAACGUAACAAUUGCAAGAAACUCAAGGUUUCUUAGUAGUAGUACAGACAAGUAAACAAUAAUGGGAUAACAACUGUGAAGAAAACAAUACAAAACCUUGUGCAACUUGUCUUUGCUGAAGCAGAGAGGAGAUAUAUCUGGCCUCAAGUAGAAUGAAACUUCAGUUCCAAGUCCUGGUUGUGUCUGUACAUGAAGGUCAGUUGCCGCUGACUAGCCCACUCAAGGGAGAAUGAAACAGGUAUCAGAAAAGCCAGGCUCUUUCCUGAGGGCAUCCACCACAAGUUUAGCCCCAUAGGGUCUACUGGUGAGAUCUUCUGGGUUGCUGUCUCAUCUCCCUGCACAAAAAGCAGCAAGAAUGGUGAUUGCCCACAAUUGGAAAGAUUUUCGAAAAGUGACUCUGGAACAUUGGUACUAAAGAAUGUGGCAGGUAGCCCUUUUUGAAAAGUUAACACAGAAGCUGAAAUAAUCACAGUGAAGGAAAAAAGGACACAUUUGUAAUGUUGUUGGAUAUAUGUUGGAAAAUUAAGGGAAAAAAUCACCAUUCAUGAGCCUUUACCAAAAGGGUGAGGAAAUCCCAUGCGAUUGACACUCUGACUGUCAGCAUGACCGGAGGCAGAUGGUAAAAACUGAUAGCCAUUCUACAUGUUCAAAUAAAUGUAGAUGAACAUCCCUGCUGAGACUGGACCAGUUCAAAAACCAAGUUGUAGUAGCUGUUGGGAGAGUGCUCCUUACCUGGCUUCUCAACCCCGUAGUUGCUGGCAGGGCCGGCGCCAGAGGACGGCCAGGUUGGGCCCCGACUGAGGGUCCCUGAGUCCGAAGGGGCCCAUGAAGGGCCCCUCCUUAGGUUGGGUGGGUAACACUCCCUUCCGCAAUCCGUGGCAGCGUUGGUGUCCGACCCUGCAGCGGAUCAUUAGAGGAAGCUCCUAGGCACCUCGCCUACUGCCAUGCAGACCUGCAACCCCCACCUGCAUGCCCCACCUACCUCUCCCUUGAUGUAAAUGCUGGUUGUGCUGUGGGCGCAAGCCUGCCAUCUACCAAGAUGGUGGCCGAGGUUUCCCUAAGAGGCUGAUGCCCCUGCCUC